UCUUAUUAAGAAUGAGUGGAGGGACUUGGCCCUUUGAUACUCUGGCAACAGCUCUAACGAGCGAUGUGCCAAAUCCAACAGUUUAUGUAAACUGAAAAAUAAGA
rnacentral:ncRNA from 1 species